rnacentral:rRNA from 1 species
CUUGGCCUACGGGGGGCAGCAGUGAGGAAUAUUGGUCAAUGGCCGAGAGGCUGAACCAGCCAAGUCGCGUGAGGGAUGACGGCCCUACGGGUUGUAAACCUCUUUUGUCGGGGAGCAAGACCCGCCUCGUGCAGGCGGAGCGAGAGUACCCGAAGAAAAAGCAUCGGCUAACUCCGUGCCAGCAGCCGCGGUAAUACGGAGGAUGCGAGCGUUAUCCGGAUUUACUGGGUGUAAAGGGCGUGUAGGCGGGCAUGCAAGCCAGAAGUGAAAUCUGGGGGCUUAACCCCCAAACUGCUUUUGGGACU